rnacentral:rRNA from 1 species
UAAAAAGCAGCCACCUUUAAAAAAGCGUUAAAGCUUCAUCUUACUCAUCUUAUAAUUCCUUACUAUUUCUUAAACCCUUUACUACUAUUAAGUAAUUCUAUACAUUAUAUAAAAGAUUUUAUGCUAAAACUAGUAACAAGAAAUUGAAUUUCUCCAAAAUUUAAACAUACACCAAAAUGGACCAACCAUUGGUAAUUAGCGUUAAUAAAAUUAUUAUAGCAACACACCCAGAAAACACUAUACCUUUACACGUUAACCUUACACAAGAAAAUUUCUGGAAAGAUUAAAAGAAAGAGAAGGAACUCGGCAAAUCUUAACCCCGCCUGUUUACCAAAAACAUCGCCUCUUGAUCAAACAUAAGAGGUCUAGCCUGCCCAGUGACACACUUAAACGGCCGCGGUACCCUGACCGUGCAAAGGUAGCAUAAUCAUUUGUUCUUUAAAUAAGGACUCGUAUCAACGGCAUCACGAGGGUUAUACUGUCUCCUCUUUCUAAUCAGUGAAACUGACCUCCCCGUGAAGAGGCGGGGAUAUAAAAACAAGACGAGAAGACCCCAUGGAGCUUUAAACCCAAUAACAACUCUUUUAAAUAAACUUUUAAAAUUUAGAUGUACUGUUUAUUGGUUUUGGGUUGGGGUGACCACGGAGUAAAAAUUAACCUCCUUGACGAAUAGAUUUUAUCUUAAUCCAAGAGCCACCGCUCAAAGAAUCAAAAAUUUGACGUUACAUGAUCCGGCAACCGAUCAACGAACCAAGUUACCCUGGGGAUAACAGCGCAAUCCAUUUCAAGAGCCCCUAUCGACAAAUGGGUUUACGACCUCGAUGUUGGA